AGGGUUCUUAUUGUUCAUAAGUCUAUGUAGCUUUACACUGGGUAUGAGAUUCGUUUGCUGAUAGUUUACACUCAUAUAAGUUUCUGCAUUUGCUGCUUUUACACACUGCUAGGCUUUGGAUUGCAUUCAUCUUCCUUCAUAUGCAAAAGGUUUUGGAUGGAGAGUUUCUUUUGGCUAUAAGUCUAUAUUUGUAAGCACAGAUAUACAGUGUCUAUAUAACCACGUAAUAUGUUUAGAGGGUGUUCUAUAUUGCUCAACUGUAGCAGCUAUCUUUGAAACUGAAGCUUUUGUGAGGUGCUUGGGAAGCAAUCGGCAGCUUAUAGAAAGCUGCUCUACCCUGCUUUGAAGCACGUGUUGCCAACACUAGUGCUACAGCACAUUACACAGCUACAAGAUGCACAAUUAAAGCACAGUUAUACCUUGAGCAAGCAGAUUCGUAGCGUGAAGUGGCCUGCAUGCACGUACAUGGUUUAUUUAGCUUGGAAGGGCUGAAAACACCCCCCCCCCUCUCUCUCUCUCUCUCUCUCUCCCUUUCCGCAUACAUGGAUCAUGUGUGCAGUUCCCCAGUGGUAUGCCCAUCUAUAAUGUGGUAGUACACUUUUGCAUUGUUGGUAAAUUAAUGUAAAGCAUGGUAAAUAAAUAUAAGUCCCCUGUUUUUACGAUGAUUACUUUGAUUUCCAAACUGUGCGUGUGUAUCCCAUGUUUUAGGUAGGUGUACCCCCAGGGUGACAUAAAAAAAGGUGGGCAUGUAUGUUGGACGAGGUUUCAUUUAGAGUAGUAACACUGUGGCAGACAAUUUAUGGGGGGAUAUGCAGUCAUUUUGAACUUUCUUUCCAGGAUGAUGUUUUUUGCUUUUUUCUCUUUUGACACAGUGAUGUCAAACCCUCUAAGCUUUGUAAUUACUGAAUUCAAAGUUGCUCUCCCCAACUUAGGGUAGACAACUGAGUAUCUCUCCUUGAUCAAGAGGCACAAAUGCUGGAGGUCAAUUGAGAGAGUGAAGAAAUGCUAAAGAAUAGCAUUGAGUAGUUGACUAUAUUAAGAUUCAAACUCACUUAUCUUUGCCAUGUGUGCAUAUAAGUACUCUAUCUCCAUGUAUUGGCCAUAUUGUAGAAUAUAAGCCACGGUUGUGGAGUCUAUAUCCCUUUUAAGUACAGUUGCUAGAGAUGAGUUAAACUUGGCGUUUGGCUAUUUAUGCAUCACUUGUGAUCGUGACUAAUCUGCUAGGCAUAAGUUGAAUGUCUUCCAUGUUUAGAUAUGUGACUUGGAUAGUUUGUUACUGGUGGCGGACUCGUGAGACUUUAGAGCGUGGAAUUUAUAAGUUUGGGUGAGACUUUUGAAUCCUAUUCCAGAAACGGUCUUUACCCCUACGCAGAGUAGGAUUUGCUUUCUGAAAUGACAAAUAAUCAUUCAGGCGGCAUCCUUUUUCCUUGUUAUAUCACAUUGUGUCCCAGUUUUUCAAUUUAUGGCUCAAUUAGUUUAGUGUGUCCAGAAUCUGAUCAAAUUAUGUCUACUGGUUAAGCAUUCCGUGUGAGGAGCCGUAUUUUGUUCUUGUAUUCUCAUUGUGCGUU